rnacentral:rRNA from 1 species
GACGAGCGCUGGCGGCGUGCUUAACACAUGCAAGUCGAACGGAAAGGCCCUGCUUGCAGGGUGCUCGAGUGGCGAACGGGUGAGUAACACGUGGGUGAUCUGCCCCUUACUUUGGGAUAAGCCUGGGAAACUGGGUCUAAUACUGGAUAGGACCAUGCUGUAGGUGGUGUGGUGGAAAGAUUAGUUUCGGUAAGGGAUGAGCUCGCGGCCUAUCAGCUUGUUGGUGGGGUAAUGGCCUACCAAGGCGUCGACGGGUAGCCGGCCUGAGAGGGUGGACGGCCACAUUGGGACUGAGAUACGGCCCAGACUCCUACGGGAGGCAGCAGUGGGGAAUAUUGCACAAUGGGCGCAAGCCUGAUGCAGCGACGCCGCGUGGGGGAUGACGGCCUUCGGGUUGUAAACUCCUUUCAGCCAUGACGAAGCCCUUGUGGUGACGGUAGUGGUAGAAGAAGCACCGGCUAACUACGUG